UACAAACGUUCCUUUUGACUUUUGAGUCAUCAUCACCAUGCCGAGAAGAAUCAUUUUCUCUCACCUCGGAUUCCUAGCCGCCGAUGUCACCGAUGUUUCAGUUCGUUAAUCGAUAGUCUCCCACCACCAUCGGCUUCUAUCUAGCCAUCAUCACCAGACCCGUCGGCUUCUAUCUUUCCACGAUUACCAGUCCCUAAUCGAUCAACCAUUUGAGCUUCUUCAUUUGUUAUACCUGUACACUUCAGCUCCAUAUCAGGAUCUUGGUUUGGAUGCUUGGGUUCGCUAACUUGUUUUCAAGAGCAUAAAGUCGUUAAGGCAACCGACGUGAUUGGAUAAGGGAGUAUAUAUUCGACAGUCAAUCUAGCAAAACAGGAUCCGAAUAUGUUUAAACCGGGUCGGUUAGGAUCCGCGUCCCAUAUCCAAUAUAAUGACUUUGUUGCCUUUAAAUUUCUUUUUUUUUCUCUUCUUCCUUUUUUUCUUGCGUAGGGGCAAUAUGUGGAAUUUUUGAAAAAAGUAUUUUUUUUUCUUCUUCUUUUGUACUCCCGAUUUAAUAGUAUAGAUUUCAUAGAGUUAGAGGGGGGUAUUGGUUUGGGAUUUAAGGAGAAUUUUAAUGACUUUGAAUAAAAUCAUAGAAAGUAUAAAAUGAAGGAUUUUAAGAGAUUGUUUAGAAAGUU